rnacentral:lncRNA from 1 species
UUCAGAGUUCACUCUGUACAGAGAUCAUACAUCCAUAGAGAUAGCAUCAGAGUUAUCGUCAGUGAACAGUUACCACGGAGAUCAUACAUCCAUAGAGAUAGCAUCAGAGUUAUCCUCAGUGAACAGUUACCACGGAGAUCAUACAUCCAUAGAGAUAGCAUCAGAGUUAUCGUCAGUGAACAGUUACCACGGAGAUCAUUCAUCCAUAGAGAUAGCAUCAGAGUUAUCGUCAGUGAACAGUUACCACGGAGAUCAUUCAUCCAUAGAGAUAGCAUCAGAGUUAUCGUCAGUGAACAGUUACCACAGAGAUCAUACACCCAUAGAGAUAGCAUCAGAGUCAUCCUCGGUGAACAGUUACCACGGAGAUCAUACAUCCAUAGAGAUAGCAUCAGAGUCAUCCUCAGUGAACAGUUACCACGGAGAUCAUACAUCCAUAGAGAUAGCAUCAGAGUUAUCCUCAGUGAACAGUUACCACGGAGAUCAUACAUCCAUAGAGAUAGCAUCAGAGUUAUCCUCAGUGAACAGUUACCACGGAGAUCAUACAUCCAUAGAGAUAGCAUCAGAGUUAUCCUAAGUGAACAGUUACCACGGAGAUCAUACAUCCAUAGAGAUAGCAUCAGAGUUAUCCUCAGUGAACAGUUACCACGGAGAUCAUACAUCCAUAGAGAUAGCAUCAGAGUUAUCCUCAGUGAACAGUUACCAUGGAGAUCAUACAUCCAUAGAGAUAGCAUCAGAGUUAUCGUCAGUGAACAGUUACCACGGAGAUCAUACAUCCAUAGAGAUAGCAUCAGAGUUAUCCUCAGUGAACAGUUACCACGGAGAUCAUACAUCCAUAGAGAUAGCAUCAGAGUUAUCCUCAGUGAACAGUUACCACGGAGAUCAUACAUCCAUAGAGAUAGCAUCAGAGUUAUCGUCAGUGAACAGUUACCACGGAGAUCAUACAUCCAUAGAGAUAGCAUCAGAGUUAUCCUCAGUGAACAGUUACCACGGAGAUCAUACAUCCAUAGAGAUUCGCUUAGAGUUAUCAUCAGUGAACACAUUUCAGAUAGAUGCUAA